AUUGACCACUGGCGGCAGGCCUAACACAUGCAAGUCGGACGAGUGGCGGACGGGUGAGUAAUGUCUGGGACACUGCCUGAUGGAGGGGGAUAACUACUGAACACGGUAGCUAAUACCGCAUACCAUCGGAUGUGCCCAGAUGGGAUUAGCUAGUAGGUGGGGUAAAGGCCCACAUAGGCGACGAUCCCUAGCUGGUUGGAGAGGAUGACCAGCCACACUGGAACUGAGACACGGGACAGACUCACACGGGAGUCAGAAGUGGGUAAUAUUGCACAAGGGGCGCAAGCCUGAUGCAGCUAUGCCGCGUGUAUGAAGAAGGCCUUCGGGUUGUAAAGUACUUUCAGCGGGGAGGUGUAACCCGCAGAAGAAGAACCGGCUAACUCCGGGCCAGCAGCUGCGGUAAUAC
rnacentral:rRNA from 1 species